rnacentral:rRNA from 1 species
UGGGGAAUAUUGGGCAAUGGGCGAAAGCCUGACCCAGCAAUACCGCGUGAACGAAGAAGGUCUUCGGAUUGUAAAGUUCUGUCCUAUGUGAAGAAACAAAUGACGGUAACAUAGGAGGAAGCCCCGGCUAACUACGUGCCAGCAGCCGCGGUAAUACGUAGGGGGCAAGCGUUGUCCGGAAUUACUGGGCGUAAAGGGAGCGUAGGCGGCGCAUUAAGUUUCAUGUGAAAUACCCGGGCUUAACUUGGGGGUUGCAUGGAAAACUAAUGUGCUAGAGUACAGGAGAGGUAAGCGGAAUUCCUAGUGUAGCGGUGAAAUGCAUAGAUAUUAGGAGGAACACCGGUGGCGAAGGCGGCUUACUGGACUGAAACUGACGCUGAGGCUCGAAAGCGUGGGGAGCAAACA